AAUAAAUAGGGAUACAAUAAAACUGAGCAGCAAUAAUAGUGUUUUACAAGUUUAAAGUAUCAGAUUUGAGUGGUGGUGGUUUGAAAUGCAUGCUUAGUGAAUUCGAAAAUGUGUCCAGUGCCUAGCCAGUGUGUCUGCUGGGCAGUCAAGGUCAUGAAAUACGUACAUGCUGGUUUCUAGCUCCGAAGGCUAAUUUUGCAUGAAUUUUAAAGGUGCCUCCACUCAACUGAAUUUCUGCAAAAAAACGCGUGGAUGACCCUAGGAUUCUUCGGUGUCGGUCAAAUAUCUGGUGUAGACGUUGUGUUAGCUGUGAGGACGGACAGUGCCCCCACCCCGGCAGCCAGUAGCCGAUUUGUGAAAAACUGUAGUGUGCCCCCUAGAUGUGUUGUCAAAUGCUAUGUCAACAAAGGGGAACUUCUCUAUACGUUUUGGGCUCUGCUAAUGACAUCACCUCAAGUUGGUGUCAUUGUCGUGACAGCUGCAGUGAAUCCUGACAAAGACAAUUCAUUUGUCAUACUAUGACAUAUGUAGAAGACUGAGAAAAUAAAUGUACUUUGGAUUAUGGAGUUAAUUUAUUAUCAAUAAGUGGAAAAGUGUUUAUCUUUUUGAUAGCCUUUGUUGUAUAAAAAUACUAUGUACAAAGUAACAAUGGUAUUUACUUUUUUCUUUACCAUGAGUUAUUCUUUUGUUUGAUUGGUAGGGUAAGAGUGGGGACUCGGUACCUGUAAGUGCUGGUUGGGGUAUAGUAGGGUGUUAGUACCUGUAAGUGCUGGUUGGGUUAUAGUAGGGUCUCAGUACCUGUAAGUGCUGGUUGGGUUAUAGUAGGGUCUUAGCACCUGUAAGUGCUGGUUGAGGUAUAGUAGGGUCUUAGUACCUGUAAGUGCUGGUUGGGGUAUAGUAGGGUGUUAGUACCUGUAAGUGCUGGUUGGGGUAUAGUAGGGUCUCAGUACCUGUAAGUGCUGGUUGGUUUAGAAUGGGGUCUCAGUACCUGUAAGUAUUGGUUGGGGUAUAGUACCGGUAGGGUCUUAGUACCUGUAAGUGCUGGUUGUGGUAUAGUGGGGUCUCGUUACCUCAAAGACUGGUUGGGGUCGAGUGGGGUUGGCACCUUUGACUUAAAUUAUGUUUGUUUUAUUAAAAUAUCAUUCACAUAUUAAAAGGCAUAGUCAAAAACUACUUGACUGCAAACAAGAAUUUAUAUACACCAAAUAUAUGAUAAUAUUAUGUAUUUAUCUGUUUUGUUUUUGUUGUCUUUUAUUAUGAAAAUAUUUUUUUUAAUACCUGCUUCCAUAAUCCACCGAUUCACUUGGCCCUGCAACCACUUCCAUGUAUUGUGUAUGGGAAGGUAUUGUUCUGAAAAUAGUUUGUUUCAUGUAGCGUAUAUUUAAGUUCAAAAAUAACUUUGGUACUAAAAAUAUCAAUGAAGCAAUUUAGAUAAUUCUUGGUUAUGCAGUUCUGCAUGAUUUUUUGCACUUGUUUUCGUAUGAUGUUUUUAAUCAGGAAAUAGAUGAACUUGUUUUAUGAUUGUGCUGGUGUUUUAUGUAGUUUGUCUUGAAUAUUACAUUAAUGCAUAUAAACAUUAAAUGCCUCAUCAGAUAAAAAAAAGGUAAAACAGUAAUAUACUGCUGAUCAACAUUCAAAUUAAAAGAUGAUAAAUAAGUGUCUUACACAGCUGAAAGCGACUAAAUUUUAGUAAAGCUCUUGUCAAGUGCAACUGUCGCAGCCCCAGCGAUUGAAGCUGACUCUGUACCGACCACAUUCAUGACAGCCUCUGUCAAUAUGUCUAGAUUUUUGUUUAAACAACCUCCUCCUAAGAUAAACAUUUUCAUUAUUUAUAAGACUAAAUGGAUGUGUGGUUAAAAUUGUGAAUCCACAUUUAUGAAUUCUUGUUCAAACAUGAAUGAGUUUUACUUUUGAUUCAUUUUAAACUUGUAACCUCAGUGUAAUGACUUUAUUCAAACAACUGAAUUUUUGAAGGUGUAUUGUUAUACCAUUACCAAAAGGUUUUACUUUACAACAAAAUUAAACAAAAGCAACAUUGUUAAAAAUGACUUAAUAGUCUCAAUUUUUUUAUACUUUACAUGAAGAGGACUUGGAUUUUCAAAGUGAUUAUAAGGCAUAUGAAUAAAAAAAAAUGAGUACUUAUUUUAGAGGUAUUAAAGCAUUAACAUUUAUAAUUUUCUUUUCCUUAUUAUAUAAUUAUUUAUUUCUCAUUUAAUUGAUGACUACCUGAGGUUGUUUGCUAUAAACAUUGUAUAUGUUUUAUGCAAUAAAGAAUAUGGUAUGGUAUGGUACCUGUCAAUGAACGGUCUCUCAUGUAAUCUCUGUAAAUGAGACGGUGCUUGGCUACCUAGUUUAGCCACUUUUUUGCAGCUUUUCUGCCGUCCUGUUUUUAGUUGCUUUUUGAUUGAAAUUUGUUUCAACUCUCGCCCACAUCUGCUUUUUUGUUUGACGUGUUAUUCCUCUAUUAAAUACAGAACUUGUAUUCAUUAAACAAUCACAUACAAUGUACAUAGCUUUGACUGCUUUAUAUUGGCUUUACCGGAAUAUGUAGCAAA